rnacentral:rRNA from 1 species
GGUCAAGCAAAAAAGGGCUGAUGGUGGAUACCUAGGCACACAAAGGCGAAGAAGGACGUAGCAACCUACGAAAAGCCUCGGGGAGUCGGAAGCAGACUAUGAGCCGAGGGUGU